rfam:Camponotus floridanus CamFlo_1.0_3.contig1702, whole genome shotgun sequence.
AGCUGAAUAGCUCAGUGGUAAGAGCAGUCGCCCGGCAAGCGAAAGACUCGGGUUCGAUUCCCGAUUCAGCGA